CCUAUAUUACCCAUUUAUAAUUCCAUUUUUCUCCAAUCAAUGUGAAACAGGUUAUUGAGGCCUAUAUCCAAAUAGAGGAGGAUAAAAUAGAGCCCAUGCAGACAGAGAGUCCACAGUACAUGUCCACAUGGACUUGGGCUUACAUGCAAAGCUUCCAAGAGCCAUCUUGGCACAGGUUCCUGUAUGAACACUUACUUGAAAAACUCGGGAAAUGCAGUGUUCUUUUCUUCCCGAUUAUUUCAAAAGAAGAGUUCCACUUCACACUUCUCACAUUUCACAAAAAUGAACGAAAGUGGAGACACUACAAUCCACUUAGAUCGUUGGGACGUAGAAAAGAAGAAAGGUGCAUUGACAUUGCUCGAAACUUUGUUAAUAUUGUUGAAGGGUGGCUAGAAUAUAUAAGACCUCAAGCACGAGUGUUCAUAGAAACUAAAAAAAAACCAACACUUGUGAAGCAAAAGUAAGGGCCCCCGACACUUCUACAAAAAGAUUUGACUCCAACUGAAGAACUCACUCUCAAUUGGAUUAUGCAAAAUCCAUUGCAGUUUCCAUUUGAGGAUGACAUGGAAUGUGCUCAACAAAGUGUAUCUUCAUUGGAUUGCGGCAUGUUCGUCAUGUUCUAUAUGGAUAAAAUAGCACAAGGACAGCCCAUUCCAAAAAGCGUGGACAAGAAAUUCAUGAAUGAAUAUCGAGCACAAUAUGUCACAAAACUCCUACACCACAAAAACUGUGUAAUUAAUCGUCUCUAGUGAUUUGCCUUUCGUUAACUCAAGACAAUAUGUAUUUUAAUUCUUGUGGAUGUUUGUAAAUAUUUCUAGUUAUGGUAUAUGAGAACAUAUUUCCUAUACAUAUAAACUGUAAUAUAAUCUUGGAACAGGAUGCAACAAAACGAAAAGGAAACAAACAAACUGCACUGAAUUUUCUGGUCAAAAUAUUGCAACAAAUUAAA